rnacentral:rRNA from 1 species
AUUGAACGCUGGCGGCAGGCCUAACACAUGCAAGUCGAACGGUAACAGGAAACAGCUUGCUGUUUCGCUGACGAGUGGCGGACGGGUGAGUAAUGUCUGGGAAACUGCCUGAUGGAGGGGGAUAACUACUGGAAACGGUAGCUAAUACCGCAUAACGUCGCAAGACCAAAGAGGGGGACCCUCGGGCCUCUUGCCAUCGGAUGUGCCCAGAUGGGAUUAGCUUGUUGGUGGGGUAACGGCUCACCAAGGCGACGAUCCCUAGCUGGUCUGAGAGGAUGACCAGCCACACUGGAACUGAGACACGGUCCAGACUCCUACGGGAGGCAGCAGUGGGGAAUAUUGCACAAUGGGCGCAAGCCUGAUGCAGCCAUGCCGCGUGUAUGAAGAAGGCCUUCGGGUUGUAAAGUACUUUCAGCGGGGAGGAAGGGAGUAAAGUUAAUACCUUUGCUCAUUGACGUUACCCGCAGAAGAAGCACCGGCUAGCUCCGUG